GAUGAACGCCAUUUACAGGCUUAACACAUGCAAGUCGAGGGGCAGCAUGGUCUUAGCUUGCUAAGGCCGAUGGCGACCGGCGCACGGGUGAGUAACACGUAUCCAACCUGCCGUCUACUCUUGGACAGCCUUCUGAAAGGAAGAUUAAUACAAGAUGGCAUCAUGAGUCCGCAUGUUCACAUGAUUAAAGGUAUUCCGGUAGACGAUGGGGAUGCGUUCCAUUAGAUAGUAGGCGGGGUAACGGCCCACCUAGUCUUCGAUGGAUAGGGGUUCUGAGAGGAAGGUCCCCCACAUUGGAACUGAGACACGGUCCAAACUCCUACGGGAGGCAGCAGUGAGGAAUAUUGGUCAAUGGGCGAGAGCCUGAACCAGCCAAGUAGCGUGAAGGAUGACUGCCCUAUGGGUUGUAAACUUCUUUUAUAAAGGAAUAAAGUCGGGUAUGGAUACCCGUUUGCAUGUACUUUAUGAAUAAGGAUCGGCUAACUCCGUGCCAGCAGCCGCGGUAAUACGGAGGAUCCGAGCGUUAUCCGGAUUUAUUGGGUUUAAAGGGAGCGUAGAUGGAUGUUUAAGUCAGUUGUGAAAGUUUGCGGCUCAACCGUAAAAUUGCAGUUGAUACUGGAUAUCUUGAGUGCAGUUGAGGCAGGCGGAAUUCGUGGUGUAGCGGUGAAAUGCUUAGAUAUCACGAAGAACUCCGAUUGCGAAGGCGGCCUGCUAAGCUGCAACUGACAUUGAGGCUCGAAAGUGUGGGUAUCAAACAGGAUUAGAUACCCUGGUAGUCCACACGGUAAACGAUGAAUACUCGCUGUUUGCGAUAUACUGCAAGCGGCCAAGCGAAAGCGUUAAGUAUUCCACCUGGGGAGUACGCCGGCAACGGUGAAACUCAAAGGAAUUGACGGGGGCCCGCACAAGCGGAGGAACAUGUGGUUUAAUUCGAUGAUACGCGAGGAACCUUACCCGGGCUUAAAUUGCAGAUGAAUUACGGUGAAAGCCGUAAGCCGCAAGGCAUCUGUGAAGGUGCUGCAUGGUUGUCGUCAGCUCGUGCCGUGAGGUGUCGGCUUAAGUGCCAUAACGAGCGCAACCCUUGUUGUCAGUUACUAACAGGUUCCGCUGAGGACUCUGACAAGACUGCCAUCGUAAGAUGUGAGGAAGGUGGGGAUGACGUCAAAUCAGCACGGCCCUUACGUCCGGGGCUACACACGUGUUACAAUGGGGGGUACAGAGGGCCGCUACCACGCGAGUGGAUGCCAAUCCCCAAAACCUCUCUCAGUUCGGACUGGAGUCUGCAACCCGACUCCACGAAGCUGGAUUCGCUAGUAAUCGCGCAUCAGCCACGGCGCGGUGAAUACGUUCCCGGGCCUUGUACACACCGCCCGUCAAGCCAUGGGAGCCGGGGGUACCUGAAGUGCGUAACCGCGAGGAGCGCCCUAGGGUAAAACUGGUGACUGGGC
rnacentral:rRNA from 1 species